AUACGGAGGGUGCAAGCGUUAAUCGGAAUUACUGGGCGUAAAGCGCACGCAGGCGGUUUGUUAAGUCAGAUGUGAAAUCCCCGGGCUCAACCUGGGAACUGCAUCUGAUACUGGCAAGCUUGAGUCUCGGAGAGGGGGGUAGAAUUCCAGGGGUAGCGGUGAAAUGCGUAGAGAUCUGGAGGAAGACCGGUGGCGAAGGCGGCCCCCUGGACGAAGACUGACGCUCAGGUGCGAAAGCGUGGGGAGCAAACAGGAUUAGAUCCCCUGGUAGUCCACGCCGUAAACGAUGUCGACUUGGAGGUUGUGCCCUUGAGGCGUGGCUUCCGGAGCUAACGCGUUAAGUCGACCGCCUGGGGAGUACGGCCGCAAGGUUGAAACUCAAAUGAAUUGGCGGGG
rnacentral:rRNA from 1 species